CAACGACGGGAAAUCUGUUUACUGGUCACAAGAAAGAAAACUGGAAGAAGAAGAAGAAGAAGAAGAAGAAGAAGAAAGAAAACUGAGGCUAAAACCACCGGAAGAUUCCAUUAAAAUACUGCAUUGACGUCAUCGUCCAAAAACUUCAGAAGAAUAACAAAAGGCAGGAGGAUGUUGCUGAUCCACCUAUUUGUGUUCAAGAGGAAUUAGCUGUCUUCAACAAACUCGGUGAUCUUAGCAGAGCCUGCUGCUAUCUUGUGGGAUUGACAUAUGCCUUGGACCUGCGAUACCCCAAGAACUUUAAAGGGUUAGUUUACCCAAAAAUGAAAAUUAGCCCAUGAUUUACUCCCCCUCAAGGCAUCCUAGGUGUAUAUGACUUUCUUCUUUCAGACGAAUCCAAUCGGAGUUAUAUUAAAAAUUGUCCAGGGCUGCGUUUCCCAAAAGCAUUGUAAGCCUAAGAAGUUCUUAAAAACGAUCGUAAGACUGAUCUUAAUAUUACGGUCUGUUUCCCAAACGCAUCGUAACUUAAGUAGCACUUGAAAAUCAUCGUAGAUUUACGAGUGCUCUGUAAUCGUAAAGCACUAAGUGCAUCUUAAAGUCGGCAUGAAAUCAAAAUUGAAAAUUCAUAUUUUUUAAUGGAAUACUGUAGUGUUUAUUAUAAAUAAUUUAUCCAUGCACUUCAUUAUUUUUUUUAAAUUCACGUGCCUUUGUAAUCUUUAAUAAAAAAUGUUAACCUCCCCCCCCUCAAAACGACUCAUCUUCUCUUCCGGUCACGAGUGAUGGCGCAAGGGCGGAGCUAGUGACGUAAGGGGUAAGCGUUGGAAUAAACGACAGGGGAAAAGCUGAAGCUGAUGCUUCACUUUAUAGAAAUAAAUGCAUUGACCAGUGCUGACGUGAGCAAUGGGGUAGUACACUACCCUUAAAAAUUUUAAGGCUAUUAGGAUAUUACCACAACAUUACUCUUAGGACAUCGCAAAUUAAUUUUUUAAUGAAUAUGACUUAACCUGAUGGAGGACGCGCUCAGUCAUUCAGGCAGUCUCUCUCUCUCUCUCUCUUGCGCACGUGCUGUUAGGCAUGUUUUGUGCCGUUGAUCGUCCUCGUCGCCGUUACCUUCACUAAAUAAAAAAAUUCUUCAUGCUAGGGUGUCGGCGGUGAACCUAGGGAGAGAAAUCCCCCCACAACUAACUGCAAACUGGCAUUCAGAUCUUCCUCCGUUUUGUUAGCAACGCUUCAACUUCCAAUGAUCCAAUCAAUUUCGAAGGACGAAAUCAAGUCCCGCCUCUUAUUUCAGAUGCAGUUUCACUCAGAUAGACGUCACAGUAGAGAAAAAACGACAAUCGCUACUUCUGUUUCAUGCUGACUUUAAGAAGACUAAUGAGUAAAGAGUAAUGAGGUCUCCUGCAGGACAAUCGGCAGAUUACACCUUUAAAUUUAUUCAAGUGCAAUGUGAUUGUAAUAUAAGGUUUUGAUUGUACUUUAUUGUACACUUUAUUACUCUUAAAAAAAAAAAAAAAAAAAUGAAAUAAAAAGGGCAGAAAAAUAUAAAUAAACAUCUAAAUUAAAUGACUGAACAAAAAAUGAAUAACAUAAAUAAUGUAGGAAAUAUGCUUCAAAGACUGGGAAAAAUAUGGAUAAACUCAAAAACAAUCUGUCAAUGACAAAACCAGCCAUGUAUUGAACCUGGAAAUAACGUCUCUACAGAUAUUAUAUAUAAUAUGUUAUUGUAUAUUAAUAUUAUACUUAUAACUAUUAUAUUAUAUCUGAGCUGUCUGGAACUCAGCAAUAGGUUUACAUUUCAUUAAACGAGCAUGUACUACACAAUUGACAUUUCAGCACUUGACAAACGGAUAGCGACUUCUAAGUAGCUUUUAAAGCAGGGCUACGUGCGAUUGUGUUAAGUGCAUUUUUGGGAAACGCACGUGAAACAAUAACGAACAGAUCAGUCGUUACCGGGAAACCCGGCCCUGGCUCUUCCAAACUUUAUAAUGGCAUUGGGCGGGUGAUAGUGUUCAACUGUCCAAAAGAAGUCCAAAUAAAGUGCAUUCAUCCAUAAUUAAAAGUGCCUCACGCGGCUCCCGGGGGGUGAAUAAAGGCCUCCUGUAACAAAUUGAUGCGUUUUUGUAAGGAACAAAAAUCCGUAUUUCAGGGCUCUACAGUGCGACCAUUUACCAUUUGAAGUACUGCGUGCGACUAUCAAAAAAUCAGCAUAUAUGUGUUUGCGCUCAGGGAACUUCAAAGAUUUCUACUUUCGUGUUUUUGCAGCAUUGAGUAAUGUAUCGCAGACAUAUGUUGAUUCCUUGAAUGUAGUGUUAAUCAGAAUCCACUCACUGCUCAAAAUACUGGAGCUGUUCAUUGCUGAGUUAUGCCAUUAUAGAGCAGGACA